GUCACAUCUAUGGACUCAAACAUUGCCAAGUAGUAGUCAAGAGUUUCUAUGAACCUUGUGAGGAAAGGAGUUGUGUUUGUGUUUGAUUCUUGCUCCACCAAAGUCACCACCUUGGGAUUAAGUGAUUUGACCAUUUGAAGUAGCCCAUCCCUUGGAUUACUCACAUCGACGCCCUCAUCAGGAGUGUGAUGAAGCUGCAAGGGAAAGUUUACAGCCAGAGCCUCCCCAGGCCUGACAUCAAGCAUGUCCCGUGUGACUUCUGGAGCAAAAACUGGCACACCAUGAAACUC
rnacentral:misc_RNA from 1 species